AAGACUUUAAGUUAAAUAAACUAAUAUCCUUCAAAGUUAUAAAUAAAGAAACACCUCUUUAAGUCUCA
rnacentral:tRNA from 1 species